rnacentral:rRNA from 1 species
CCUACGGGAGGCAGCAGUGAGGAAUAUUGGUCAAUGGACGAGAGUCUGAACCAGCCAAGUAGCGUGAGGGAUGACUGCCCUAUGGGUUGUAAACUUCUUUUAUAUGGGAAUAAAAUGUUCCACGUGUGGGAUUUUGUAUGUACCAUAUGAAUAAGGAUCGGCUAACUCCGUGCCAGCAGCCGCGGUAAUACGGAGGAUCCGAGCGUUAUCCGGAUUUAUUGGGUUUAAAGGGAGCGGAGGGGGAUUGUUAAGUCAGUUGUGAAAGUUUGAGGCUCAACCGUAAAAUAGCCGUUGAAACUGGCAGUCUUGAGUACAGGAGGGGCAGGCGGAAUGCCUGGUGUAGCGGUGAAAUGCGUAGAUAUCAGGCAGAACACCGGUGGCGAAGGCGGCCUGCUGGAGUGAAACUGACGCUGAGGCUCGAAAGCGUGGGGAGCAAACAGGAUUAGAUACCCCUGUAGUC